rnacentral:rRNA from 1 species
CCUACGGGAGGCAGCAGUAGGGAAUCUUCCACAAUGGGCGAAAGCCUGAUGGAGCAACGCCGCGUGGGUGAAGAAGGUCUUCGGAUCGUAAAACCCUGUUGGUAGAGAAGAAAGUGCGUGAGAGUAACUGUUCACGUGUCGACGGUAUGUAACCAGAAAGCCAAGGCUCACUACGGGACAGCAGCCGCGGUAAUACGUAGGUGGCAAGCGUUAUCCGGAUUUAUUGGGCUUAAAGGGAAAGCGGGCGGUCGUUUAAGUCUGAUGUGAAAGCCUUCGGCUUAACCGGAGUAGUGCAUUGGAAACUGGGAGUCUUGAGUUGAGAAGAGGUGAGUGGAAUGCCAGGUGUAGCGGUGAAAUGCGUAGAUAUAUGGAAGAACUCCAGUGGCGAAAGCAGCUCUCUGGUCUGUAACUGACGCUGAGGCUCGAAAGCGUGGGUAGCAAACAGGAUUAGAUACCCCAGUAGUC